AAAGCGUGCGCAGGCGGUUAUACAAGACAGGCGUGAAAUCCCCGGGCUUAACCUGGGAAUGGCGUCUGUGACUGUAUGACUAGAGUGUGUCAGAGGGGGGUAGAAUUCCACGUGUAGCAGUGAAAUGCGUAGAUAUGUGGAGGAAUACCAAUGGCGAAGGCAGCCCCCUGGGAUAACACUGACGCUCAUGCACGAAAGCGUGGGGAGCAAACAGGAUUAGAUACCCGUGU
rnacentral:rRNA from 1 species